rnacentral:rRNA from 1 species
AGAAAGUAUCUUCGGAUAUGAUUAGAGCGGCGGACGGGUGAGUAACGCGUAGGAAUCUACCUAGUAGAAGGGGAUAGCCCGAGGAAACUCGGAUUAAUACCGUAUACCUCCUCCGGGAGAAAGAAGGCCUCUCUUUGAAGCUUUCGCUACUAGAUGAGCCUGCGUAAGAUUAGCUUGUUGGUGAGGUAAAGGCUCACCAAGGCUACGAUCUUUAGCGGGUCUGAGAGGACGAUCCGCCACAUUGGGACUGAGACACGGCCCAGACUCCUACGGGAGGCAGCAGUGGGGAAUAUUGGACAAUGGGCGAAAGCCUGAUCCAGCCAUACCGCGUGUGUGAAGAAGGCCUUAGGGUUGUAAAGCACUUUAAGUUGGGAAGAAAGGUUAUUGGCUAAUACCCAAUAACUGUGACAUUACCAUCAGAAUAAGGACCGGCUAAUUCCGUGCCAGCAGCCGCGGUAAUACGGAAGGUCCAAGCGUUAAUCGGAAUUACUGGGCGUAAAGCGCGCGUAGGUGGUUUAUUAAGUUGGAUGUGAAAGCCCCGGGCUCAACCUGGGGACUGCAUCCAAAACUGAUUCACUAGAGUACGAUAGAGGGAGGUAGAAUUCACAGUGUAGCGGUGGAAUGCGUAGAUAUUGUGAAGAAUACCAAUGGCGAAGGCAGCCUCCUGGAUCUGUACUGACACUGAGGUGCGAAAGCGUGGGUAGCGAACAGGAUUAGAUACCCUGGUAGUCCACGCCGUAAACGAUGUCAACUAGCUGUUGGAAAGCAUUGCUUUUCAGUGGCGCAGCUAACGUAGUAAGUUGACCGCCUGGGGAGUACGGCCGCAAGGUUAAAACUC